UACGAAGGGGGCUAGCGUUGUUCGGAUUCACUGGGCUUAAAGGGCGCGUAGGCGGGCGGUCAAGUCGGGGGUGAAAUCUUUCAGCUUAACUGGAAAAGUGCCUCCGAUACUGAUCGCCUCGAGGGAGGUGAGGGGCAGUGUGGAACUUCCGGGUGGAGCGGUGAAAUGCGUAGAUAUCGGAAGGAACGCCGGUGGCGAAAGCGACGUGCUGGACCUCUUCUGACGCUGAGGCGCGAAAGCUAGGGGAGCAAACGGG
rnacentral:rRNA from 1 species